GAUGAACGCUGGCGGCGUGCCUAAUACAUGCAAGACGAGCGAACAGACGAGGAGCUUGCUCCUCUGACGUUAGCGGCGGACGGGUGAGUAACACGUGGAUAACCUACCUAUAAGACUGGGAUAACUUCGGGAAACCGGAGCUAAUACCGGAUAAUAUAUUGAACCGCAUGGUUCAAUAGUGAAAGACGGUUUUGUUGUCACUAUAGAUGGAUCCGCGCCGCAUUAGCUAGUUGGUAAGGGAACGGCUUACCAAGGCAACGAUGCGUAGCCGACCUGAGAGGUUGAUCGGCCACACUGGAACUGAGCCACGGUCCAGACUCCUACGAGAGGCAGCAGUAGGGAAUCGUCCGCAAUGGGCGAAAGCCUGACGGAGCGACGCCGCGUGAGUGAUGAAGGUCUUCGGAUCGUAAAACUCUGUUAUUAGGGAAGAACAAAUGUGUAAGUAACUAUGCACGUCUUGACGGUACCUAAUCAGAAAGCCACGGCUAACUACGUGCCAGCAGCCGCGGUAA
rnacentral:rRNA from 1 species